GAUGAACGCUGGCGGCGUGCCUAAUACAUGCAAGUCGAGCGAAGCGGGGACGGGUGAGUAACACGUGGGUAACCUCCUAUAAGGCUGGGAUAACUUCGGGAAACCGGAGCUAAACCCGUUACUUAUCGAUGGAUCCGCGCUGCAUUAGCUAGUUGGUAAGGUAACGGCUUACCAAGGCAACGAUGCAUAGCCGACCUGAGAGGGUGAUCGGCCACACUGGAACUGAGACACGGUCCAGACUCCUACGGGAGGCAGCAGUGGGGAAUAUUGCGCAAUGGGCGAAAGCCUGACGGAGCAAGGCCGCGUGAGUGAAGAAGGUCUUCGGAUCGUAAAGCACUGUUAUUAGGGAAGCGGUACCUAAAGAGAAAGCACCGGCUAACUACGUGCCAGCAGUCGCGGUAAUAC
rnacentral:rRNA from 1 species